rnacentral:rRNA from 1 species
UACCAGCACCCCGAGUGGUCGGGGCGAUUAUUGGGCCUAAAGCAUCCGUAGCCGGUUCUGCAAGUCCCCCGUUAAAUCCAGCUACUCAACAGAUGGGCCGCGGAGGAUACUACAGAGCUAGGAGGCAGGAGAGGCAAGCGGUACUCAGUGGGUAGGGGUAAAAUCCGUUGAUCCACUGAAGACCACCAGUGGCGAAGGCGGCUUGCCAGAAUGCGCUCGACGGUGAGGGAUGAAAGCUGGGGGAGCAAACCGG